UUCCAGAUAGCUCAGUUGGUAAAGAAUCCGCCUGCAGUGCAGAAGACCCCAGUUGAAUUUCUGGGUCAGGAAG
rfam:Ovis aries breed Texel chromosome 11, whole genome shotgun sequence.